AGUGAACGCUGGCGGUAUGCCUAACACAUGCAAGUCGAACGGCAGCACAGUAAGAGCUUGCUCUUACGGGUGGCGAGUGGCGGACGGGUGAGGAAUACAUCGGAAUCUACUUUUUCGUGGGGGAUAACGUAGGGAAACUUACGCUAAUACCGCAUACGACCUACGGGUGAAAGCAGGGGAUCUUCGGACCUUUCGCGAUUGAAUGAGCCGAUGUCGGAUUAGCUAGUUGGCUGGGUAAAGGCCCACCAAGGCGACGAUCCGUAGCUGGUCUGAGAGGAUGAUCAGCCACACUGGAACUGAGACACGGUCCAGACUCCUACGGGAGGCAGCAGUGGGGAAUAUUGGACAAUGGGCGCAAGCCUGAUCCAGCAAUACCGCGUGGGUGAAGAAGGCCUUCGGGUUGUAAAGCCCUUUUGUUGGGAAAGAAAAGCAGCAGGUUAAUACCCCGCUGUUCUGACGGUACCCAAAGAAUAAGCACCGGCUAACUUCGUG
rnacentral:rRNA from 1 species